CCCCAGACUGGACGGAGGGCCCGCAGUGCCAGCGCUGCCGCCCCGGCAGUUUCGGCCCCGGGGGCAUCGGGGGCUGCCGCCCCUGCGGCUGCCACGGCCACGGGGACCCCGAGCGGGGCUUCUGUCACCCCAGCUCGGGGCUCUGCCACUGCCUGCCCCCCACCACGGGGCCCCACUGCGACCGCUGCGCGCCCGGCUACUACGGGGACCCCAGGUGAGUGACAAAACUGCCCAAAAAGCAAAAAAAACGGGGAAAAACGGUCAAAAAAUGGGAAAAAUCCACCCAGAAAUGGCCCCAAAAUGGCCCCAAAGCUGCGGGGGUGUCAUUGCCUGGCGCCACCACCAGGGGGCUCCACUGGGACCGGUGUGCGCCAUGGUACUAUGGGGACCCCAGGUGAGUGACCAAAAUUGACCAAAAUGCAAAAAAAACGGGAAAAAACGGUCAAAAAAUGGGAAAAAUCCACCCAAAAAUGGCCCCAAAUGGCCCCAAAGCUCCGGGGGUGUCAUUGCCCGUCCCCACCACCAGGGGGCUCCACUGGGAUCGCUGCGCACCUGGGUACUAUGGGGACCCCAGGUGAGUGACAAAAUUGGCCAGAAAGCAAAAAAAAUUGGAAAAAACGGUCAAAAAAUGGGAAAAAUCCACCCAAAAAUGGCCCCAAAACUCCGGGGGUGUCAUUGCCUGGCAUCACCACCAGGGGGCGCCACUGGGACAGGGGCGCCCCUGGAUAAUACAGGAACCCCCAGGUAAGACCCCAAAAUUGCCCAAAAUCCCAAAAACUCUGGGUCAAAGUAGCCAAAAAUCAACAAAAAUCCAGCUCAAAAAAGUAGGAAAAAAAUAGGAAAAAAAUCAGGAAAAAAUCAGAAAAAAAUCGGGAAAGAAAUUGGAAAAAAAUUGGGAAAAAAAAUCAGAAAAAAAUUGGGAAAAAAUCAGAAAAAAUAGGAAAAAAUCCUUAAAAAAUAGGGAAAAAAUCGGAAAAAAUUGCAAAAAAAAUCUGAAAAAACUAGGAAAAAAUAUCGGUAAAAAAUUGGGAAAACUAGGAAAAAAUCUUUAAAAAUUA
rnacentral:lncRNA from 1 species